AGAUCCGCUGAUAAAUGGUCCCAUACCGUAUCCACAGCGUCCUCAUGGUGCAGGCGUUCAAACCGCCACCUCUUUGAAGAGACCAAGCAGCUUGAUGACUGACUGGUUCUUUAUACUCAAGACCUCGUCCCGGAGCAGAGGACGGACCUAAGGCCCGCAGCGCAGCCGACUAGAGACUCCAUGUGGAACCGGUUCAAUUAAGUUGACCUCUCCUUCAGGAGACUUAAAGGGAGACCAGAUGUGCGGCAGCUGGGUGUCAUGGUGCAGAGACCCAACGCUGUACUGAACUACACCAGUGUGUCCUACUCCCAUAAACCCUGAGGAUCCCUGGAUGGCUACACCAGCACAUUAAUCCACACCCAACAUCAACACACAGUGCACACUCCAGAGCUCGUAAGUCCGCCCCUUGCGGCGGGACCUCGUGAGAUAGUAAGAUAUGACUGGGUUUCAAUGGAGAGAAAGUAAUUAUUUUCUCCAUUUUAUGUUGCACCACAUUUUGGGGGAAGAAUGUUUGAAUCAAUCUUUGUCAUUUAUUUCUGUACUCCAUAUCUGUAAUCCCAGCUGUUGUAUUUUAACACGGUAGCUGGGAACCCUCUUUAUAGGGAGCGACUAGAGGGACGAGGCUGGAAGCAAACCUGAGCCUGGAUCUUAACCUUCUUUCUAAACCUAAUGCCGCAAUUUAACCGCAAAUAAAGUGAGGCCUAAAGUAACUUGACUCGCUUGCCUAAACUCGCUUGCCUAAACUCGCUUGUCUAAACUCGCUUGCAUAAAACCUAAACUCGCUUGCAUAAAACCUGAACUUGCUUGGCUAAACUCGCGUCGCUUGCCUAAUACCUGAACUUGCUUGCCUAAACUCGCUUGCCUAAUACCUGAACUCGCUUGCCUAAACUCGCUUGCCUAAACUCGCUUGCCUAAUACCUAAACUCGCUUAGCUUGACUCGCUUGCCUGUACUCGCUUGGCUAAACUCGCUUGCAUAAAACCUAAACUCGCUUAGCUUGACUCGCUUGCCUGUACUCGCUUGGCUAAACUCGCUUGCCUAAUACCUGAAGUCGCUUGCCUAAUACCUGAAGUCGCUUGCCUAAAACCUAAACUUGCUUGUCCAAACAUAUUACACAAAGUUAACCAUCCAUAAUCUUUAACCCAAACCAGACUUGUCCCUGGGUCGCUCCACUUUAAUUUAGAAGUUUCUUCUUUUACCUCAUCUGCGUUUUGAGUUUCAUUCUUUGAGGGCUUGAAGUGCUUUGGAGGGUAUUUGAACCUUUGUUUGCUGCAUCAAUAAACAUGCUUUAUCUUUACCCAUUUUGUUUUGGAUUGCAUUUCUAUGUGUAAUCCGGCCCAAUGUUAAGUGUCCUUACAUGUAAUGUCUAUGGUCUGACGAUAAUCUGACCUCUUCAUGAAGCAGAAUGUGUGUGAAUGUUGUCCCGUGAGCUCCAGGCUCUCUGUGGGCCUGUCAACGUCUCUUUAGCAAAAGGUUGGAGAGUGAAAUUCAUUUUUGUGCCAUUUUCAUGUGUUCCUGAGUAUUUCAGACCUGUGGUGUUUCACAUGAGACCUUAAUGGGAACUUUUCUUUUUC